UUUUUUUUUUUUUUUGCCUGAGGGCUACUUUUAGUUUGGAUGCUGCUGUAUCUUUCCUCAUGUAUGCAGGCUGUUACCCCCUUAAUGGGGGUCCUGGUGUAUGGUCUGUGUGUGCUUCUGGGGAGAUGGAGGCAAUGGGAAUGUCUAGUAGUCAGGGCCUUGUUGCUGGGCUCUUGCCAGUGGCAAGGAUCCAUUGGGAGGUGGUGCUGUCUACUCCUGAGUGCAGGGCCCUGGGAUGUUGCAGUGAUCCUUAGGCAGGUGUAGGCAUUGCCCAGAGCAUUUGACAGUGGCUUCAUCAGGAUUUGUGUGCUCCCAGAGGAGUGAGAGCAACAACACAGCAGGUGGUGCUCAGUUACAGUUCUUUCCUCUGUGGCUUCUCUUAAGGUAACUGGGGCAGGUGGUUCCUAUUCACAGACCCCCUAAUGAUGGCAGGCCAUGCCCACCUCUGAAGUCUGAGAUGGCUAUGGUGAUUUUCUCCUGCUGCCUGUAGAUCAUGCAAGAGGCCCCCUGCCACCCAUAGCCCUCCUAAGAGGUGCCCCACCACGUGUAACCCUUGCCAAAAGACACCCUGCUGCCUGAGCACCUGCACAUGCUCAGAGAAAGAUAUUCCUAUGGCAGUUCCUCCCCUCCUCUUAUCACCAUCCCCAGCAGUGGCUCCUUGCUUCUCCUGUGAGCCCAGACCUCUUCCUAGGUUCCCUCGCCUCUGGUUCUCUGCUCCUCAAGCUGUGGCGCAUUGCUUCCUAGCCCCUCCAGCUGUCUCCAAACAUCCCACCCUACUCUCCUCCCUGGACCUGACCUUCAGAGCCUGUGUCUCAUUGCCCAGACCUUGCCUGAGCAUCUCAGGCUGUGGUAUCUGGAGGUGGGGGUAGUACCAGUGGUUUGUGUGGCUCUCUCUCUACUUUGCCCUUCUCAGUCCGGCUGCUAUGCUUUUCUCAGAGGCUUUGAGGUCCAUUUGUCUCGACUGAUCUCCCCAUCAGUUGGGUAGCUUCCCAGGGUGCAGGUUUCAUUCCUCUUUCACAUCUCCCUCUUAGGAAUUCUGGUCCCAUGCUGAUUCCUUUUUUUCUCUCUUCUCUCUCUUUUUUCCUUUUGUUCUACCCAGUUUUGUGGAGUUUAAGGUCUUCUGCCAGCAUUCAGUAGAUGUUCUGUGUGAAUCAUUCUACAUGUAGAUUUUUUUUUCCUGUGUUUGUGGGAGAAGGUGGGCACCAUGUCUUACUCCUCUGCCAUCUUGAUCCUGCCCUCUCAAACAUUUUUUUAUGAUUUUAAUAUUGUUAUGGUGAUCUCUGAUCAGUGAUCUUUGAUGUUACUGUUGCAAAAGGAUUACAAUUAGUUGAAUGCUCAUAUUUAACUAGCAUAUUUAGAAAUAAAGUAUUUUAAAAUUAAGUUAGGUAUUUUUAUAUACAUAGUGCUAUUGCAUACUUAAUAGACCACAGUAUAGUGUAUAUAUAGAUUUUAUAUACACUAGGAAACCAAAAAAAUUGUAUGACUCAUUUCAUUGCAAUAUUCAUUUUACUGUUGUGGUCUGGAACCAAACUUGCAAUAUCUCCAGUGCAUGCCUGCAUAAAGUAAACUGCAAAACUUUAGAACUUAAAACAAUGUGAUAUUGGUUAAAAAAAAUAGGGUAUUUGGUACAGAAGAAAACCCCAAGAAAAUAGGGCCAUAUAUGAACAACAGUUACAUUUGCAAUAAAGGUAGCAUCUAUGUCAGUGAAGAAUGAUGCACUGCUUAAACAAAUGGUUUUUGGGACAAUUAAAAAUAAAGUAGGAGAAAUCUAAUUAGAUGUAGAUUUUAUCUCACAUAAACUCAAUAACACACACACCAGAUUGUUUUAAGAACUAAACAUGCAAAUAAAAUUAUAAAGAUUAUAUAAAGAAAUAGAGGUGAGCAUUUUAAUAAUCUUGAUGUUUUGUAAACUCGACCUGAAGUUUGUAUGUAUAUAUGUGUGUGUACAUCAGAUGAAAUCUAUAUUCUACAUCUAACAGUUAUAAUGAAAGACUGAUAGAUUUGACUAUGGUGAAAUUUAAAUUUUUUAAAGGACAAAAAAUAAAAUCACCAUCAGUACAACUGAAUGACUGAGGACUGACAAAUGUGACUUAUUUGCAUCAUCUAUAAGAGGUAAAGGUUAAGUUUUUGUUUUUUGAUUUUGUCUUUUUAUGGCUGUACCAGCAGCAUAUGGAAGUGCCCAGUUCAGAGGUUGAAUCAGAGCUAUAGCUGAAGUCUGUGCAGCAGCUUGCAACAUCACCGGAUCCUUACCCCACUGAGCAAGGCCAGGGAUCAAACCUGCAUCCUCACUGAGACCAUAAUGGAUUAUUAACCUGCUGGGCAACAGUGGGAACUCCAAAGGUUAAGCUUUUUAAAGAUAAUAUACAAAUCAACUUUUAUAACGAUAAGCCUUUGGGAAAAAGAUCAAAGGCCAUGAAGAAGUAAUUCACAGGAAUAAGAAAAGAUAUAAAAAUAUAUUCAACUUUGCUAGUUAUUAGAGAAACAUAAAUCAAAAUGAAAUGUUUCUUUUUCCACAUACUAAUAAAAUAUUUUAAAAUUUAAAAUCUGGGUGUUCCCACUGUGGUGCAGCAGAGAUCAAUUGGACUAGUAUCCAGGAGGAUGUGGGUUCAAUCCCUGGCCUCACUCAGUAAGUCAGGGAUCCAGCAUUGCUGUGAGCUGUGGUGUAGGUCAUAGCUGCAGCUCAGAUCCUGCAUUGCUGUGGUGUGGUUUAGGCCACAGGUGUAGCUCCAGUUUGACCCCUAGCCUGGGAACCUCCAUAUCCCGAGGGUACAGCCCUCGAAAGAAAAAAAAAUAAAAAUAAAAAAUACAAAAAUUAAAAUAAAAUUUAUAAACAAAUUUAUGACAAAGCAGAAAAUAAAGUCUCAUAAACUGUUCAUGAUAGUGUAAUUUGGUAAAGACUUUUUUUUUGGGUACUUGUUAAUAUCUAUCAAUCUGAAAAUUCUCUUACUAUGAGAGUUAAUAAUUCUAUUAUUAUUAGUUUGUAUUAUAAAAUGUGUUGGUUCCUUAGUGGUCAGUACAGCCAAAUAUUAUGAUUCCCUUUACCUGUAAGGUACUAGGAGUGAGGCUUGGUAAUAUUUCCUACAUGGAUAAUCAAGAACCAGGAAGCCCACCAUUGGGUUAAUCCCAGAGAAUAUUAUUUAUCUGGUAAUAAUUAUAUAAUGAAUAUCUAAUUUAAUCCAUUUAAAAAUUUCAAUGAAAAUGGUAAAAUGUAAUAAGAAAUUUUGAGAAAUAAAACUAAAUAAUGUAUAAAGGAAUUUAUGUGAUAAAGUUUAGAUUAUAAAUGCUCUGUGAGGUAUUUAGCCCAAGAUGUGUGUCAAUAUUUGACAUUUUUGGUGUAACAUAUCUAAUAACAUUUUAUAAUGACAUGAUAUUAUCUUCAUUUAUGAAUUUUACAACAAAAUCAUUAGAACUCAGUUAUUCCAAAAGAUUUCCUUUUUGUUUUAAUAAUGAAAUAUUUUUUUGAAACAUCUCUCAUGUAAGCAUAGGUGUCAGUUUCCUCUUCUAUUUAUGUUUACUGUUUCAUCUAUGCCAUAUCUCCAUUGUAAUUGUUUUUGUAAUUUUAGCAUUUCUCCAAUUUCAGUGCCUGAAACACAUUUCUUUGUGUGAAAUUUGUGGUAUCAUGUUAAAAAUUGGUUUGCAUUAAUAUUAAAUACUAUUCCAGAGAAAUAGAUUCAAUUGUAGCAUUAAGUAAUGAAAAAGAGACAGAUGAUAAAGAGGUUGUGGGAAGGAAAGAUGCUAGUAUUGCAUAGUGAAGAAAAUCUGAGAGAGGACUACUUUUAGGAGUAUCAUUUCAUUCCUUAAUAUUUUUGUAUAUCAACUUCUCCUCCAUACACAGUAAGUUGUGGGUGUAGAUAUUAACAUUAUUCAUUUAGACACAUGAAUUACUCUAUAGUUUGUAAUAGUGCAAACUUUUGAUGUGUCUCAAUGUCCCUUAAUAAAGGAUGGAUUAAAUGCGUUAUGGUAUAUGGCAUGAAUUAUUCUUCACUUUCUAAUUUACUCAUUUAUUUAUACAUUUGAUAAGCAUUUGUUGAGUUCUUGUUAGGUACCGUACCCAAAAGAGGCUAUUUCCUGGAAUCAUCAGUCAACUGGAUUUCUGACAUUUACAGAAUACUUCAGUCAGCAAUACCAAAAUGUGAUUCUGCUCAGGUUCACAUGAGACAUUCACCAAGAUAGACCACAUUCUAAUCCACAAAAUAUACCUUAACAAACUUAAAAGAAUAGAAAUCAUACGGAGUAUGUUGUCAGACCAUAAUGGAAUGUGGUCUGGUUCUCAGACCAUAAUAGAAAUCUCAAAUCAUUAAUAGAAAAAUAGCUGGAAAAUUUCCAAAUAUUUGGAGAUUAAACAGUAUACUUCUAAAACCACACGGGUCUAAGAACAAGUCUGAAUAGAAAUUAAAAAUAUUUUCAACUAAAUGGAGACAAGAAUACAACUUAACAAAAUUUGUGGGCUGCAUUGAAAACAACUUUGACAAGGAAAUUUAUAGCACUGAAUGUGCAUAUUAGAAAAUAAGAAAGAUCUGCAAUCAGUCUUCCAAGUUUCUACCUUAAGAAACUUUAGAAGAACAAAUUUAAUCCAAAGCAAGAUGAAGAAAAUAAAUAAUAAGAAUUAGAGCAGAAGUCCAUAAAGCUAAACUCAGGAAAUGAUAGAGAAAAUCAGUGAAACCAAAAGCUAGUUCUUCGAUAAGUGUAAUAAAACUAAUAAACUUCCAAUGAGCCAAUCCAAGGAAGGAUAAAGAAGAGGCAGAUAACUAAUAUUAGAAAUGAAAAAGAAAGCAUCACUAUUGGCUCCAUGGACAUUUAAAAAAAAAUAAGGAACAUUAUGAACAACUCUGUGACCAUAAAUUUGAUAACUUCAAUGAAAUGUACCAAUUCUUUUGGAAGACACAAUCUAUUAAAACACGCACAAGUAUAAAUAAAUAAUCUGAGUAUGUCCAUAUCUAUUAAACGAUAUAACUAUUAAUGAUAGCAUCCAAAAUAAAAAGCACAGAUCAUUUCACUGAUAAAAUCUCCCAAGAAUUUAUUUCAAGAAGAAAUUAUUCCAAUUGUCUACUAUAUGUUCCAGAGAAGAAAAUCAGAGCAUACACUCUCCUCUUUCUAUUAGAUCAGCAUUAC
rnacentral:lncRNA from 1 species